rnacentral:rRNA from 1 species
UACGUAGGGUCCGAGCGUUGUCCGGAAUUACUGGGCGUAAAGAGCUCGUAGGCGGCUUGUCGCGUCGACUGUGAAAACCCACGGCUCAACUGUGGGCUUGCAGUCGAUACGGGCAGGCUAGAGUUCGGUAGGGGAGACUGGAAUUCCUGGUGUAGCGGUGAAAUGCGCAGAUAUCAGGAGGAACACCGAUGGCGAAGGCAGGUCUCUGGGCCACUACUGACGCUGAGAAGCGAAAGCAUGGGGAGCGAACAGG